rnacentral:rRNA from 1 species
UACGAAGGGGGCUAGCGUUGUUCGGAAUCACUGGGAGUAAAGCGCACGUAGGCGGAUUUUUAAGUCAGGGGUGAAAUCCCGAGGCUCAACCUCGGAACUGCCUUUGAUACUGGAGAUCUUGAGUCCGGAAGAGGUAAGUGGAACUGCGAGUGUAGAGGUGAAAUUCGUAGAUAUUCGCAAGAACACCAGUGGCGAAGGCGGCUUACUGGUCCGGAACUGACGCUGAGGUGCGAAAGCGUGGGGAGCAAACAGG